AGAACUGGGUAGGGGUGCCUCCAGGAAGUCCUCUUAUGUGUGCUUCUUUGUUCAUUUGACGAGGAUUUGCUGAGCACCUACUAUGCAUCAGACGUUGUGUUCUAGGCAAGGGGGAUACACCUGAUGGAAGAAGGUGCUUCCCUAGACGUAGCUAACAUCCCAGUGUGGGACAUGACAAGAAACAAGUAUGGUGGAAAUGAUGUCACGCCCACUCCAGGCCUAACCUCUAGGAGGACUGGCAGUUUCCGCUAUGGCCUCUGGGAGACAUGAGCUGCCAUGAAAAAGGUCAAACUACUCUGCUGGAGACACCCACCUGGAGAAGCCCUGGGAUUCCAUGGAGAGGCAGACGGACCCAGCCGAGCUCAGUGUUCCAGCCAUCCCCACGAAAGCACCAGGAACCUGAGUGAAACCAUCUCGAUCCUCCAGCAUAGCACAAUCAGCAGCUGAAGAUCACUGAGUGACUCUAGUCGGCGCUCCAUGGAUCACUGAAGGAUCACCCAGCUGAGACCUGCGCAAAUUUCUGACUCACAAAACUGUAGACAAUACAAUGGUUGUUGUUUGGGGGCAGUUUGUUAUGCUGUAGCAAUAAAUAGCCAGAAGACACCAACAGGCAGAAGUUGUUUGCUGAAAAUAAUGCAAAAAUUAUAUCAGCCCUUGCCCAGCUACCUCCGGAUUUCUUGCUACAUGAAAAAAAAAAAAAAAUCCCUAUUUGUUUAAGCCUCGUUGACACCUUGGGCUAUUGCUCAGUCCUCAGUUUUCCAUUUGUUAAAUGGAGCAUUAGCUCCUGUCUUAUUACUUCCCAAAGGUGCCUGAGAGGGUAGAGUAAGAAUGAAGAAGAGAAGGCCUUUUUCAUGUAAUAUAAACAGUGCUUAUGUUCCCAAAGAUCAGUGAGUGACAUGCUCAAACAGUUACAAUAUAUUUAAUGUGGUCAUAAUGGGAGUGAACUUGUCAUGAACCAAUUGCAAUGGAUUUUGGAAUCAGACACGUUAGGGCUUGAGGCUCUCAGCUCUGCUAGACAAACUUCUACCUUGACAAAUAGGCCAGUCAUUAAAUCUCUCCAAGCCUUAGUUUCCUCAUCAAUAAAGUACAGACGAUGUGCUUUCCCUCCAUUGAGUCUGUGUGAGGAUUAAAUUAAAUGAGAUUCAUCCAUCUAUUUGAUAAAUAUUGAAUAUCU
rnacentral:lncRNA from 1 species